rnacentral:rRNA from 1 species
ACGAACGCUGGCGGCGUGCUUAACACAUGCAAGUCGCACGGAAAGGCCCUGCUUGCAGGGUACUCGAGUGGCGAACGGGUGAGUAACACGUGGGUGAUCUGCCCUGCACUUCGGGAUAAGCCUGGGAAACUGGGUCUAAUACCGGAUAGGAGCCAUUUUUAGUGUGAUGGUUGGAAAGUUUUUUCGGUGUAGGAUGAGCUCGCGGCCUAUCAGCUUGUUGGUGGGGUAAUGGCCUACCAAGGCGGCGACGGGUAGCCGGCCUGAGAGGGUGGACGGCCACAUUGGGACUGAGAUACGGCCCAGACUCCUACGGGAGGCAGCAGUGGGGAAGAUUGCACAAUGGGCGCAAGCCUGAUGCAGCGACGCCGCGUGGGGGAUGACGGCCUUCGGGUUGUAAACUCCUUUCGCUAGGGACGAAGCUUUUUGUGACGGUACCUAGAUAAGAAGCACCGGCUAACUACGUG